rnacentral:misc_RNA from 1 species
UUUAGGGAGCUGCGCUAGGAGUAAUGGCAGGUCAAAUGACAUAUGGGAAGAAACAGUGGGAGAAAUAUGAUGUUCAGAUGAGAAAAAUUAUUCCUGUUAUGCAUAAUGCCAUGAAGGAACUGGUCACCAUCAUCGAUGCCGACACAACGGCUUUCAGCGAUUAUAUGGCAGCUCUGAGAUUACCCAAGAACACUCCAGAAGAAGUUUCAAUGAAGCAGACAGCUAUGGAAGCAGGCUUGAAGAAAGCUAUUGAUGUACCUAUGAGUCUCGCAAGAAAUGUCAAUAAAGUCUGGGAAACUGCUAAAGAACUUGCAUCUUUAGUAAACAUUGGAGCAAAAUCGGAUUUCCAAGUUGGUAUAAAGUGUUUACAGACGGGAUUCAUGGGAGCGUACUGGAAUGUCACUAUCAAUAUGGAAGGGAUCAAGGAUGAAGUAUAUAGAAAGAGGAUGUUAGAAGAAGUGGAACAGUACAGAAGAAUUGCUGAAAUAGAGUGUCAAGAAAUUUUUAAAAUUCUUCAACAGAGACAGUAGAUUUUAUUGUUGCCUGGGUUAUGUUUGAGUUGGAACGUUAAGGGUUAUGCUAGAUUAUAUUGUUGCCCGGGUUAUGUUUGAGUUGGAACGUUAAGGGUUAUACUAGAUUAUAUUGUUGCCCGGGUUAUGUUUGAGUUGGAAUGUUAAGGGUUAUGCUAGAUUAUAUUGUUGCCCGGGUUAUGUUUGAGUUGGAAUGUUAAGGGUUAUGCUAGAUUAUAUUGUUGCCCGGGUUAUGUUUGAGUUGGAACGUUAAGGGUUAUGCUAGAUUAUAUUUUUGCCCGGGUUAUGUUUGAGUUGGAGCGUUAAGGGUUAUGCAGUAAAUAUUUUGUCUGGACAAUCAGAUAUACUUAUCUAAUAGUAUGAGAUUAUAUGUAAUGAGAAUUUUGCUUUUUAUAUUUUUUUUACUUUUUUUACGGACAACUUGAUUCUUUUUUAUGUUACAUUUAUGUAACGAAAACAAGGUUUAUCUUAUUUUUUAAAAGUUAACUAGUAAGUGUUCAAAUUUUCAUGUUGUUACCAAAUUUGAAAAAAACAACUCGCCAUAUUGUAUGUGAAAUACACUGAAAACCUUGUACGCUUGUGCCUACAAAUAUUAAAGUAUACAUUUUUUUACAUCACGUAGAAUAAAACAGGACAACAGAUCGUGUUCUGUGCAUCAGGUACUGGUGCUGGUAAAAACUGCGGGAGAACUGUACUAACAAGUCUGUGUAUGAUUUUCGUUUUUUGGUCAAGUUGUUUUUUUAAAGCAACUUCUUCAUAAGUAUGUUGUCUGAUAGUUUCUAAAUAUAAAUAUUAAUUUGAAAUAAUAAUCCUACCAAGCUUAACUCUAAAUAAAUAAAUCAUCUAGGCCCCCAUCCACUAAAUUAAACACUAAAAAACUCGAAGCCAGCCUUUAUCAGAUUUAGUGAACAUUCUAGCAUUCUCAAAAAAUACGAAUUUUGCUACCCAGAUAGCUGCCAUAUUGGAUAAAUAAUGCCAUCUUAGUGUAACUAGUAAUUAACAAUACAAGUUUUUUGAAAUGCUAUAAUAGAACAGAAACUGUCACAUGAGCUAGUAUUAGUUUUAUUAUAAAACAUUUUUAAUAAAUAAAAAAUAUUGAUUCUAACAAAAUAUGGAGCACUAUAGAUGUAAAAUAGUGAUAUUUUUAAAUAUCAUUUCUUUUUUGUACUACUCCAAACAUUGGCUUGUUACUUAGUUCUCAAGUUAUCAGAUUACGGACUUUUAAAUAGAAAGAUGUUGUGACAGAAAACUUGUGGACUUGAAACUAGACAUGAUGACAAAUAUUCCAGUUUUAAAAGAAUUGGCUCAGAAGUUUAGUACAAGAUAUAUUUUUGUUUGUUUAGGGUAAGAAACAAAAUUUAUAAAGUACAGUGACAAUAAUUAUCCUGGUUUAAAAAUUUGUGAAAUAAUAUACAAAAAACAACAAUGUUAAGUAGCAUUUUGUUUUCUAGAGAUGACAAGUUUUAUUUUUCGUGAUGUAUUUUUAAGGGACCAAUUUUGCUUUUGUGAAACCAAAAAUGCAGUUACAAACUUUGUGUCACUUAUCAGCAGCUGUCACACUGCCUAUUUUUAAACUGUUUAACCACUAGAUGUCCACUUUGUCGUAACUUUAAUGUAUUUUAAGGACACUUUUUAUCUGCAUAUUUUUCAGUCAGAGUUUUGAGGUGUUUUAAUCAAAGAUCACGUGUAAACUUGAUCCGGUAUUAAACUAUAGAUCAAAUCAUGACAACUCUAGAAAUAGUCUGAAGAAUUGAAGGUCCUGUCAGACUAACCUCACAUUAGUUAUCAUUGGGUAUGAAUAAUAAAAAAUUAUAAUGUUAAGUUUGUAGCAUAAUGUUACGGGUGAUUUAUGUUUAAUGAUCUUUACAUUAUAAGUAGUGUGAAUUUAAUGUUUGUCAGGCUUGAUACACCAGGUCUGGAGUUAAUUAGCAAGAUGUAUGUAGAUAAUAAAGCAGCCUCUGUUGUAGAUGGGAAAUCAUAUUAGGAUAGUUCCCACCUUGUAUACGUGAAGCUGUAGUUAAACUUGUGCUUUCUAGUGUUUGGUUCAAUUACUGUGUAUUAAAAUUGAAAUAUUCUUGGAAGUAGAAAUAGUGAGGUAAUAGUAACACCGUGGAUGGCACCAACUUCGAGUUUAUCAGUAGUAUAUAACUACACUAUGUUUCACCAAGUUGACCUAAGGUCUCAGGCUACUUCUUCAUUGAAAUAUUCUUGGAAGUAGAAAUAGUUUUUUGGGAAAUAUUUUAUAUUCCAAAUUAUUAUGAGCUGUACGUACGCUAUGUUUUGGUCAUGGCUGACAAAAUAAAAAAAAUUUUGACGUUUCA